UUGCCUACGGGGCGCAGCAGUGAGGAAUAUUGGUCAAUGGGCGCGAGCCUGAACCAGCCAAGUCGCGUGAGGGAAGACGGUCCUAUGGAUUGUAAACCUCUUUUGUCGGGGAGCAAAAGACGCCACGCGUGGCGUUCCGAGAGUACCCGAAGAAAAAGCAUCGGCUAACUCCGUGCCAGCAGCCGCGGUAAUACGGAGGAUGCGAGCGUUAUCCGGAUUUAUUGGGUUUAAAGGGUGCGUAGGCGGAAUGCCAAGUCAGCGGUAAAAUCGCGGGGCUCAACCUCGCUCCGCCGUUGAAACUGGCG
rnacentral:rRNA from 1 species